rnacentral:lncRNA from 1 species
AAAAGCCAAAAAAAAUCAGAAAAUUUGGGGAAAAGGCAAAAUAUUUCUAGGGUUUUGAGAUGGCGGCUCAGGUUCAAGUUCAACCUCAGGCGGUGAGUGCUGGUGUCGGUGGUGCUGCUCCUGCUGGUGCUCAGCAGUUUGUGCCGACCUCAUUGUAUGUUGGGGAUCUGGAGUGGAAUGUGACGGAUUCGCAGUUGUAUGAUCUGUUUAACCAGUUAGGUCAAGUGGUUUCUGUUCGAGUUUGCAGGGACUUGUCGACUCGACGAUCGCUUGGUUAUGGCUAUGUCAACUAUGCGAAUCCUCAAGAUGGUUAGUGCUGUUUAACAAAUUCACGUUCUCAUAGUUAGAUAUUGCAAUUCCUUUUGAUGUCAACACUGUUGAAAGCAUUAGUUCUUACUCCUUCUGUUAUGUUCAUGGCAACAGCUGCAAGGGCAAUGGAGGUGCUGAACUUCACACCUUUGAAUGGGAAGGCGAUCAGAAUAAUGUAUUCUCAUCGAGACCCUAGCGUACGCAAAAGUGGCUCUGGAAACAUAUUUAUCAAGGUAUUCAAAGCAGAAAAACCUCAAUCUAUUAAUCACUGUUUCUACUUUCUUAUAGUCUUCUUUACCUAAUGACUUCUGUUAACAAUCUGAACAAAAACAGAAUCUCGAUAAGGCAAUCGACCAAAAGGCCUUACACGACACAUUCUCUACAUUUGGCAAUAUCCUCUCCUGCAAGAUUGCGACAGAUUCAACUGGCCAAUCAAAGGGUUACGGUUUUGUACAAUACGACGCUGAAGAAUCUGCACAAAAAGCCAUUGAAAAACUCAAUGGCAUGCUUUUAAACGACAAACAAGUCUACGUGGGACCUUUUUUGCGCAAACAAGAAAGAGAACUAGCUGUCGACAAGACAAAGUUUACUAAUGUCUAUGUCAAAAACCUUUCUGAAUCAACAACAGAUGAUGAUCUAAACAAGACAUUUAGUGAAUUUGGAACUGUGACAAGUGCUGUUGUGAUG